rnacentral:lncRNA from 1 species
UCUUUUCUCUCCAUUAGACCUAAAAAACAAAAUGGGGUUGUUCAACAUUUCAUUAUUACUUGUUAGUCUCAUGGUACUAGCCAUAUUUCACUCUUGUGAUGCCCAAAAUUCACCUCAAGACUAUCUUGAGGUUCACAACAACGCUCAUGCCCAAGUUGGGGUCGGGCCUAUGACUUGGGAUGACGGCUUGGCAUCCUGAGCACAAAACUAUGCCAACUCAAGAACUGGUGAUUGCAAUUUGAUUCAUUCUGGUCCAGGAGAGAACCUUACCAAGGGUGGGGGCGACUUCACAGGGAUGGCGGCCGUGGAGUUGUGGGUGUCCGAGAAGCCAAACUACAACCAUGAUACCAACCAAUGCGCAAGUGAGCAAGUAUGCGGACAUUAUACUCAAGUAGUUUGGCGCAACUCGGUCCCACUAGGUUGUGGUCGGGCUCGUUUCAAUGAUGGGUAGGGGUGUGCAUAUAAAUGCUUCAAGUUUUUCAAUACUAUAAUAGCCGAACUUUAUAUUGUGCAUUUGUUGCCCUGAAUAAGUUAAUACUUUGUGAAUCAUUGAAUUGUGAAUAGGUAGUGCAUAUAAUAUAUAUAUAUAUAUAGAUAUAUAGAUAGAGAGAGAGAGAGAGAGAGAGAGAUUUAUAUAUAUAACAUAAAUAGGAUAAAAUAAUAACUUAGUGUAUCCUUAUUGGGUUAUCGGUUUAACGGAUAACCCAAUAAGCUAAAAUCGAAACCGAACCGUUUACCCAAUAAAUUUUUUUUAUAAAACCAAUAAAAACCCAUUAACCCAAUAACCUAAUAUCAAUAACUCAAUAACAUUUUUAUCGGUUUAAUUUAUUGAUCGGUUCGAUUUUUGCAUACCCUAAUGAUGGGUGGUGGUUCAUUUCUUGCAACUAUGACCCCGUAGGCAACUGGGCCGGACAAAGUCCUUACUAAAAUGAUGUUUCCUUAUGACAUGUUGCAAGUACUAAAUAAAAUUUCCAUAUAAUAUGUCAAGGAGUUAAAAUUUUUGCAUGACUAAUAGGUCAGACUGAUAUCAUGUCUACGAUGUUAAGGGAUUAAAAUGUACGUCUAUAAUUAUUAUUUCCCUUUGAUGUGUUAGUAUGAAUAAUUCCAUGUACCAUAUGUUCAUGAUAUAGUGGACAUAAGUUGAUAAUUCAUCUCCUUGUUUCCAUAAACAUGAAUAUAUAAAGUUUUUUCUAUUUUACUCUUCUAAAAUUUUCUCUUUUCUUAAAUAAAUAAGAAUAAAAUACGAUAGUUAUGUUACCUGAUGACUAAGGUUAGGUAAAAACUUGACAUAAUGAUUGUGUAAGUAAACUUGACACUUUAUGCGGCAAGAUUUAGAAUACGAGGGUUAAAGUACUAACUUUUAGUGCAGUCGGACAUAAAUUCAUUGUGUUUAUUGAAAUAAGAUUUACAUAUUUGAAAAUUAAAUAAAAUAUAAUAUAAAUUCAUUGUAGUUAAUAAUUCUAAAUAUAUUUAAGGAAAGUGUAGUCCAAUAAGAAUUAUUUUAACUCCCCCAAUAAUAAUAUUGUCAGACAUAAAUUUGAACUGUAAAUCAACUGUAAAGAUUUUAAUCAAUUGAUUUAUUGGGCAACAACAAAUUAAAUUUCGAACUAAAAUGUUUUUCAAUAAUGAGGCACAUAAUUUAGAGCUAAAAAAAAGGACAAUCACGCCCAAUGAUUCAUAAUAAAAGAAACAACUAAGUUGAUGUAGAGUCGGUCUCAAAAAUAGCUAUCAAGAAUUCGAAUCAACUUAAUUAUUUAGUAAUUCUAAAUUGAAGUACAAGUAAAAUGGUUAUACUUGAUUUUUUAAAAUAAAUUUGAUUCCUAGGAUCAUAAUUAUUAACAAUAUGUUGUAAAAUAUUAAAGAACAAAGAAGAAGAGUAGAGAGAGAAUAUAGAGUAAAUCUUAUUUUUCUCGAGGAAUGGAUUACAAUGAAGGAAAACUCCUUCAUUUAUAGGGGAAAACUAACUUUGGGGUUUGUAACUUUUUCAUAAAUAGACAUACACAAUAUAUGGUACAUUUAUAAAAAUCUCCCUUGAAUGUCUAAUUGAUAGACAAUACGCAUAUAUGCCGACUUAUUAAAAAACUUACAAGGAAAAUCCAGUGGGAUAAAACCUCGUAAGGAAAAAAGAGUACAGCGCGUAUUAACUCCCUCUAAUGAGAGCGUCCUUGAACCUUAGCAUUCCAAUCUUGUGCAGCAUCUUCUUGAAAGUUGCAGUUGAAAGGUACUUGAUGAAUAAAUUAGCUGCAUUGUCACUUGAACAAAUCUGUUACACGUUAAUAUCACCAUUCUUUAGGAGCUUGUGUGUAUAGAAAAGCUUUGACGAAAUGGGCUUCGUUCUAUCUCCUUUUAUGAAUCCUCCCUUAAAUUGUGCUAUGCAUGCUGUAUUAUCUUCGUAUAAAAUUAUAGGUACACUGUCGCAUUUCACACCACACUUUUCUCGAAUGAGAUGUAUUAUGGAUCUCAAUACUACUAAUUCUUGGCUUUCUUCAAGAAUAGUCAUUAUCUCACCAUGGUUUAAUGAAGUGGCUAAAUAGACUGGUUUGUAUUUUUCAAGAUAUGACAGUAUCCCCACAUGUGAACAUAAAACUUAUUUGAGAUCCAGCUUUAUACGGGUCAGAUAAGUACCCAACAUCAGCAUAACCAACAAGAUCGGGACUACAAUCUUUAGAAUAAAAUAAGCUCAUAUAUUUGAUCACAUUUUCGAUGUCUCCUAGUAGGAACAGAACUAUAUAUACGUUGCUAACAAAUUGAUUGGAAAAGGUUAUGUCAUGUCUUAUAGUAUUUGCAAGAUACAUUAGUGCAUCAAUUGCACUAAGAUAUGGUACUUCAUAACCAAGGAGUUCCUCAUUCUUUUCUUAAGUUCAAAAUGAACCCUUAUUCAAUUAUGCAUGUUUCUCAUUUAAGCAAAUAUUCUAUUGCCUUUGAAAAUUCUCCAUGAGUUUCAAUAAUUUUCAAGCUAUAAACUUAUACAAUAUAAGGAUUAUAAAUAAGUUUUCUAGAAACUUUUAUAUGCUUCAAACAUUUUAAAUCCUUAAAAGCUUUCAUGUAAAUUUGGUCAAGUGACAAUAUUCAACAUUUUAUGAGUGACAUCUUCAAUUGUUUGGAUUGCAAAUCAAAUAAGUUUUAUGCUUACCAAGAUCCAUCCUUUCAUGUCACUUGAUAAGUAUUCUACGUUAGCGUGCUUAAAUAAACGUAGAAUUCAGAUCCUCGUAAUCUUUUACAAUAUUGCGCUAAAUUGUAUCAAAGAUAUCUUCGACGGUUUCUCAUUUUGUAUCGGUUCGCAAUGUGACACAACAUUUUGAGAUCUCAUCACUUUAUUAUUUUCAGUUACUUGAACCUCUCAUAGGUUUCAUGAAGUGUUAUGUCGUAGGCUUUUCAAGAGCAUAUUGCCUUCUUAUUAUGAUUAUUUGCUCCCUACUUUUCAAAGAUUAUUUCAUUUGUAACUGAUUGGUCUAUCACGCUUCUUAUAUGCAUAGACUCUGUCCUUUAGGAACACAAAACAGGAGCACUUGCAGCUUAAAUAUGAGAUACUUUCGGUAUUUGACUUGAUUAUCGUUUGAAUAAAAAUCUGACGAUAAUUCCUAACAUAUUCCAUAGUUGCUUAUAAUCUCCCCCUUAAGUUAGAAAAACUAACAUACAUCCUCCAUAUUCUUUGAGGAAUCCAUCUUUGUGCAUUAUGACAUAUUUAUUAAUCGUAUACCGCACAUCAAAACUAUUAGAUGGACAACGUGCGAUUCCUGACUUAGAACCAACAUUGAGGGAAAAUUAAUUAUAAUUUAUUGGUUUGAUGCAUACACGUAUGUUGGUAUAUAAUAUUUCAAACCAACACAUGAAGCUUUUGUUCUCAAUGGUUUAACUAUUUAUUGAAGGCAUUCAAUGCUAAACCAUCAUCAUUAAGAUAAAUUAUCGUAAUUAUACAAUCUGAAAGUUAUGCUCUUAACUCAAUUUUAUUGAGUAAGUAAUUUUAUGAAUGUCAAACUGCAGGUUGACAAUAAAUAUACACGUGAUCAUCUUAUUGGUGCAUCUUUUCAACAUAUCACAUGAUAAGUGAACGAGCCCAUAUUCACCUUUUGUAGUUUUCAGAUUUUAAGGGAUUCAAUCCCAACAUUAGUUGGUCCAGCCAACUUAUCAUGAGAACAAGCAACAUUAAAAGCUCAUGAAGAAUUUUGAAUUCUUCAAUAUGUAUUUAAUACUUAAUAUGCACAUCUUUGGGAUGUCGCAGUAGUUCUUGUCAACUUAUAAACUUUUGUAUUAGUAAACUCCAAGUUUACCAUGACAUGUAUAUUUUUUCUUUAGUAAAUUUCUAAUUUACUAUGCUAUGAAAAGAUUUUAGAUUUACUACUUGGAAAGUAGAUUUUAGAAUAACUCCUCUCAAUUAUUCUACCUCUUUCGGAGGUGAAUUGUGGUACAUGUUUAUAUUGAUGAGCUUUGCUAAAUAUCAUCACAUUCACCCUAGGGAAUGGAUCUAUGCUUAUAACAAUUAAAAUUCUCAUUCCCAUGAAUGAGAUAUAAUCGUGUCUUAAGCCUAUCAAAUUGAUAGUUUAUAACCUCUUUCAAGAUAUUGCUAUUACAAGAGAAAAUCGAGGCAUACAUAUGAUGUAGAGAAUUUUUCUUUAUCAUAUCUUAUGCGUGUGAAAAUAUCAUCGCUUUUGAUGAUUACUAUCAUAUUGUCCUUUCACACUUAUAUUCGUACAUUCAAUCGAUUUGUCUUCUUCCAGACAUAUUAUGCAUUGCUACCACAUUCACUUCUGGAAAUGGAGCAUAUUUGAUGGGACAAAUUUCAUAUCUUUUCACCAAAGACAUUAUUUUACCUUAGUCAUCAUUAUAUCAUAAAUCUGAUGCAUUGAGAUUCAAACUCAACGUCUUAUUCAUAUAGAGGCGUCUUAGGUAAUAAAUUGGUGAGACUUAAACCCAACAUAUUAUCAUCCCUUUUGAUAAUAUUGUUCUUGAGGAAUAAAUUUAAAACAUUAAUGGUUCCAAACCAAUUAUUUUUCCUCAAAUCCAACAAUAAUUAUAUCAUUAGUAACAAAAGACAAAUAACCAUGAAAUUACCUUUAAAUUUAUAAUCUUAUCUUGUUUGGUAGAGUUUCGUGCUGAUAACAUGUUUUAAAAUAUUAAAGAACAAAGAAGAAGAGUAAAGAAAGAAUAAGGAGUAAUUCUUAUUUCUCUUGAGGAUUGAAUUACAAUGAAGGAAAAUCCCUUUAUUUAUAGAGAAAAACUAAUCUUGGGGUUUGUAACUUUUCCAUAAAUAGAUAUACACAGUAGAUAGUAAAGUAGAUAUUCACUAUAUAUGGUGAAGUAGACAUUCACUAUAUAUGGUAUAUUUAUAACACAUUAUAGUUUUUAACUUAUUUUUUCCAAAAUAAAUCAAGACCAUUUAUAUAUGUCCAAUUUAGGGUGGCAUUUGAAUUGUAAUAUCCCAUUGAACAAUUCUAGAUUAAGUUAAUUAAUCCUUAAUUACCCUAAAAUACUGCAACUGCAAUUUGACCGACCCAAACUAGCAGGUCCACAAAACAAACAAGUAAUUAUUUCACUAAACAAGUAAGUCAAUAAUUUAUUUUAUUAUAAAUAUAGUCAAAUAAAUAUGAUAAUUCAUCAAGGAGUUAUUUAAAAUUACCAAACAAUGGGUUAGUCAAAUAAUUCAAAGUUAUGCACAGAUUAAUUACAUAUAAGUAGUAAUGUGCAUGCUUCGUUAGAUAGAAAAGUAAUGCAAGAAUUAGUUGUGAGAAAUUAUAACGCAAAAAUUAUUUCGUAUUGGAUAUUUGAUUUGUUGCAUUAAAAAUUACUAUAUGAUUCUAUUUAUUUUUUAAGUUACGUGUUUUAAUUGUUUUACCUAAAGAAUUUUUUUACUGGUAUAUAUACUCAGGGGCGGAGCCAGCCUUCUAUUCGGGGAUUCGGCCGAACCCCCUUCGUCGGAAAAAUACACUAUUUACAUAUGAUUAAAAUUAUUUUUUAUGUGGUUAUCGUAGGUGUUGAACCCCCCUUCGACUAAAUUUUCUUUAAAUAUGGAACCCCAUUCGUUGAAAUCCUGGCUCCGCCUCUAUAUAUACUUUUGACUAUCUUUGAGUUCAUUUGAUUUGCAAGCCCUAGAUUCAUCAAUAACAAAAUAAUAGCAGCCGUGAAAUAUUAUUUGGAUUCUACUUGUAAAAAAUAAUUUAAAAAUUAUAUAAGAAAUAUUAUAAGUUAUAACUAUUAACAAUUCAAAAUAAAACAUAAUCAUCACUUUUUCACUAAACAUAACCAACGAUUUAUUCUCCAUAAUUUUAACACUUUCAUUUAAAUACAUAACUGCUUAUUCAUAUUUUAUAUUCAAACAGUUUAAAAAUGCUUUUAAGCACUUAGAUUCUUCUAGAGAAUCAUGUUUUAUUUCCUUUAUGCCUUUAACUCAUUCGAAAUUGCCUCGAUGUUACAACAACAACCAAUAACAUACCCAGUAAAUUCCACAAAUGAGCUCUGGAGAAGGUAGCUAGAGUGUACGCAUACUUUAUAACUACUUAGGUAGAGAGGUUGUUUCCAAAAGACCCUCGACUGAAGUGUAGAAAUUUCUGUUGAUGUAAUAUACCAUAAUUAUAAUAAAUUAUAGUUGAAAUAAUAAAGUAAACAAAAAUUAUGAAGAAAAUAAGAUAAUCUUUUUCUUGGCUGCGGUGCGGAUACCUCACUCUCUUUAAGGAGAUUCAAGCCGGUUGCGGCAUAAUCUACACCGAUCCAGCAAUAUCAACUCUUGGCUUGUCUUCUCCAGGAUACAACUCAAGCAACUCCGGAUUAGUUGAAGAUUCCAAAGCUCCACCACAAAAACACCUUCCUUCAACAUAUUAUUACUCUCUUUUGUAUAAUGAAUAUAGUUAUAAACGUAGAAUAUUCUUUUUUGGUCUUAACUCUCUCUUUCACUAGUAUAAUUACUCUCUUUUGUAUAGUGAAUAUAGUUGGAGACUUAGAAUAUUUUCUUUAUCUCAACUCUCUCUUUCACUUCUAUAAUUUUCAUACUUAUCAUAUUUUCUUGUACUUAAUAUAUUCAAACACAAAGAAAGAAACACCACUAUUUAUAGGUGAGGAAUUCUUUCAUGUAUUGAAUAGGAUGAAUGUGUUGUUUCGGGUACACAAGUAAACCUCAACCUAGUUUAAGAACAACAAUGAAGUUCAACACCUUCAACACAAGCUCAAAUUAACUAAUCAAAAUGGACUAUCAAAGACGUAUGUUUGUCAACUUUCAAAAGAAAUACAACAUGAAGCAGAAUUUAGAACCAAGUCCAUCAAUUUUACGGUAUGUCCUUAAGGAACUCAUUCCCCUCAAGUACUUGAGGUUGCAAAAUUUUUCAACGACAAUGAUGCAAGACAUCUCUUUGUUCUUGCCUCACUAUCCACAAAGGAGUGUUUCUUAUUAUAAACACAAGAGAACUUCUUUCUCCCACUAAUGUGGGAGAACUUAGCUCUCCUAAAGUGACAUUUUGUUCUUUUCCUCCAAAUUUUAUUCCCUCUAUUUUUCGUUCACACAUUUCAUUUGAACCCAAUAGAAUGAGGGGUGGUAAAGUGGAUAGAUAAAUAGUCUUGAUGUUACCGAAGUUACAUGAAACUAACAGCCAUGGAGUUACAAGAACUAAUGGCAAUGAGAUUUACAAGAACUAAUGAUCAAAUCAGUUACAAGAACUAAUAAUCAUCUUUUAUCAUAAUUUAUAUUCACUAAUAUAGGCGCUUAAUAUAUUAAUUUAAUAAGAAAAUACAUAUACAUUAAUAAUUUCAAAUACAAAGGAGAAGAAAACAAUAAAGACAAUACAGCAACUAACAAAGAAAAUCCUACAAAGUCCACAAGAAAAAAAAAAUUACAACAACAAAUGAAAUUGCCUAGAUGUGAGGCAGUUAAUUUCCACACAAAGUUUAUGCUGCUUGUCUUCAUUUUAUCCAAAUUGCUUUCGAUGACUUAACAAAUAAUCAGUCUUCUCUCUCUCUCAUAGAAUAAUUUUAUCUUUAGGAGGACUAUUCAUGUCAGUCAGGACGGUGGCUUAAUAUGAUUGAUGAUUUAAAGUAAAAAAAAAAUUAAAAGAAAAAAUAAACUAUAAAUUUGAAAAAAAUUAAAAAUUGGACCUUAACUAGAGGACUAGAGGUUUUGGUUCAAGCCCCAAAAUUGAAACAAACAAAUCUUGCUAAAGAGAACAACUCUUCUUAAAUGGACCUCACGUGGUACGAUUUCGAAUUAAGCGAUAGUCCUAAACAAAUAGAGAACAUAGUGUGAUAAACCAAAUUUAUUUUUGGAGCCCCUAAGAUUUUGGAGUUUUCUUCAUCAUCUAGCCAACCAUGAUUCACGAGGGUACUUUAGAACAUAUAUAUGUGAGCCUCGUUUAGUGGAAAAAUAAAAUUCUAUCAUGAGGACUUGGUUUAUUCGAUACAUACACGUUAUGACCAUAGCUAUAUUUCUAUGUUUUAUAGACUUGAAUGUAAUUAUUGAGAGUGAAAUAUUCCACAUAAUGUGAAUAUUCAGUCCAAAAAAUUAUUUUUAUUUUGAACUUAAGGUAUAUAUUCAUAAUUUUCUACCAAAGGCAUUAAUUACUUAUUAGCAGUUUCAAUACUUUUAUCCAUAUACGAUAUAUGUAACUAUUUAUUUAUAAAUAACACUUAUAAGUUAUUAGCUAUUUACCAUCCGCUAAUCCAAACGGGCCCUAAUAUAAACAAACAAAAAUUAUCCAUUAAAUCCAUCCCACCUAUCCUAAGACUAUUAUAUAUAACUUUGAUUUAGCAAGUUUGAAGUCCAAAAAAUACUAAAUAAGCCUUGUUUAAACUUAUCUUGAUGACAUGAUUUUGAAGAAAAUGAAAAUCCUAAAUUAAAGUAUGAUUAUUCUUUAAAGCAUUGUGUAUUAAUUCCCUAAAUUACACGACAUACAAUGUAUUAUGUAUAUAUACAAUGUUUGAAUUUUCUUCACACAUGCCUAACAAAUUAAAAUUCCACAAUGUCUACUUAUACAUACACAACUAAACUCACAUUCAUAAUCACCAUAAUUAACUUGAUUUCUUUUCUCUCCAAUAGACCGAAAACAAAAUGGUGUUAUUCAACAUUCCAUUAUUACUUGUUUUUCUCAUGGUAUUAGCCAUAUUUCAGUCUUGUGACGCCCAAAAUUUACCACAAGACUAUCUUGUAGUUCACAACGACGCCCGUGCCCAAGUCGGAGUCGGGCCUAUGUCUUGGGAUGCAGGCUUGACAUCUCGAGCACAAAACUAUGCCAAUUCAAGAACUGGCUAUCGAAAAAAAAAUUAAUUAGCAUGUCUUUGUCAUGAAGACCAAUACCAUAAGCCAUAACUAUGGAGAUGGGAGAAAGAUACAUCAUAUGUUUAGUUUAUACAUUAGAGAUACAGAAGCUUUACUAGUUUGAGUUGACCCCCUAGCUGUCCUACCACCUUCUGCCUCAACUAGCUCUUCUGGAUGCUUAGUUCGCAAAUGUCUCUUCAACUGACUUGUACCCCUUUAUAAGUUAUAACCUUCAUACAAAGACCAAAAAUUUAUAAAUUCAAGAUAUAAAAUAUCGUGGAUGAACUCAUUCUACUUGAAAGUAAACUAAUCAAGCAAACAAAAUAAAUAUAACUUUGAAUUUAGAUGAUAGUAUAAUAUUAUGAACUAUAGGAGAAUUUUCGCAGAUAAAAUACCAAUAGAAGGUUCAGAUUAUAGGAUGCAACUCUCAACCUUGAAAUGAAGCCCUUAUUGUUAAGAGAAUCAACAGUGCCUCAGAGAUAAAAAAACAACUCCUUUUUCUUGAAAAAUUCAAGUGUGAUUUGCUAUCAUUGAAUGCGUUCGUAGUUCGACAGAGUUUGAGGUAAUGCUAUUCUGUCGAAGUGAUUCAUUUUAUCCUGAGAGGAUAUAUUUCAUAACCUUGGGUACUUGAGGGAAUAAUUUCCUUAAGGACGCACAGUGUAUUUGGUGGACUUGAAUCUUCUAAUCUUCAUCUUUUUUCUAAAUGUCUGGCUUUUGCUAUUUUUCAGAAAAUAGCUUGAACUUCAUUUUGUUGAUGUCCAUAAGUUGGGUUGAACUUAUUGUUAAAAGUUCAAAAUUGUAAAUAUAGAGUUACAACUUCAUCUGAUUGUUCAUAUAUUAGUUUGAACAUGUGUUUGAAAUUAUUGUUGAAAAAUAUAGAUUUUACUAAACCCGAAAAACAACAGAAUCAACACUACAAAAUCCUAAAUAUGGAUGAGCUGGCACUAUAUAUCCAUGUCCUAAAAAGAAGAAGUUCUAAAAUGACUAGAUAUAUAGACCUACAAAUCAAUAAGAAGAAACUUAAUGCGAAAUGAGCAACUAGUAAAUUUUAGAACGUUAUCAAGACUUGCAUCUAUAUGUGAAAUGUGACGCAACCUAAAAAAGACAAAUAGUAAAUUUGAAUUAGUAAAAUUGAAGUCUAAAUACUAAAAUUAGUCUUGUUUAAACUUUAAACUAAUCUCGAUGACAUGAUUUUUAAGAAAAUGAACAUCCUAAAUUAAAGUAUGACUAUUCUUUGAAGCAUAGUGUAUUAAUUCCCAAAAUCACACGACACAAUGUUUGAAUUUUCUUCACACAUGCCAAACAAAUUAAAAUUCCACAAAGUUUUAAAUUUUUUCUUUUCUUUUCGUGAAUUCCACAAUGUGUGCUUUAUAAAUACACUACUAAACUCACAUUCAUAAUCAUAACAAAAAUAUUUCUUUUUUCUCAACUAGACCUAAAACAAAAUGGGGUUGUUCAACAUUCCAUUAUUACUCGUUUGUCUCAUCGUAUUGGCCAUAUUUCACUCUUGUCACGCCCAAAAUUCACCUCAAGACUAUCUUGCGGUUCACAACAACGCCCGUGCCCAAGUCGGAGUCGGGCCUAUGUCGUGGGAUGCAGGCUUGGCAUCUCGAGCACAAAACUAUGCCAACUCAAGAACUGGUGAUUGCAACUUGAUUCAUUCAGGUGCAGGGGAG